rnacentral:piRNA from 1 species
AGACAAUCAUGUCCAGGAAGGACUUUGUA